GUACACAAAAAUGCACAUAUUGUGAGCUCGAUGAGUAGGGCGGGACACGUGGUAUCCUGUCUGAAUAUGGGGGGACCAUCCUCCAAGGCUAAAUACUCCUGACUGACCGAUAGUGAACCAGUACCGUGAGGGAAAGGCGAAAAGAACCCCGGCGAGGGGAGUGAAAAAGAACCUGAAACCGUGUACGUACAAGCAGUGGGAGCCUCUUAAUGGGGUGACUGCGUACCUUUUGUAUAAUGGGUCAGCGACUUAUAUUCUGUAGCAAGGUUAACCGAAUAGGGGAGCCGAAGGGAAACCGAGUCUUAACUGGGCGUUAAGUUGCAGGGUAUAGACCCGAAACCCGGUGAUCUAGCCAUGGGCAGGUUGAAGGUUGGGUAACACUAACUGGAGGACCGAACCGACUAAUGUUGAAAAAUUAGCGGAUGACUUGUGGCUGGGGGUGAAAGGCCAAUCAAACCGGGAGAUAGCUGGUUCUCCCCGAAAGCUAUUUAGGUAGCGCCUCGUGAAUUCAUCUCCGGGGGUAGAGCACUGUUUCGGCAAGGGGGUCAUCCCGACUUACCAACCCGAUGCAAACUGCGAAUACCGGAGAAUGUUAUCACGGGAGACACACGGCGGGUGCUAACGUCCGUCGUGAAGAGGGAAACAACCCAGACCGCCAGCUAAGGUCCCAAAGUCAUGGUUAAGUGGGAAACGAUGUGGGAAGGCCCAGACAGCCAGGAUGUUGGCUUAGAAGCAGCCAUCAUUUAAAGAAAGCGUAAUAGCUCACUGGUCGAGUCGGCCUGCGCGGAAGAUGUAACGGGGCUAAACCAUGCACCGAAGCUGCGGCAGCGACACUAUGUGUUGUUGGGUAGGGGAGCGUUCUGUAAGCCUGUGAAGGUGGCCUGUGAGGGGUGCUGGAGGUAUCAGAAGUGCGAAUGCUGACAUAAGUAACGAUAAAGCGGGUGAAAAGCCCGCUCGCCGGAAGACCAAGGGUUCCUGUCCAACGUUA
rnacentral:rRNA from 1 species